AUGCGGACAGAGGCGCCACCAACCAUAUCACCGGCGAGCUCGAGAAGCUCACCAUCUGUGACAAGUAUUAUGGGGGUGAUCAAGUCCACACAGCUGAUGGUGCAGGACCAGGUCACGGGGAGGGUGCUGCAUCGAGGCAGAUGUAGAGGAGGACUCUAUCCAUUGAUUUCAUCUAGGACGUCAAAUAAACAUGCAUGUGGUGCCAUCAAGAUAUCUUCUUCACGGUGGCACACUCGGCUUGGUCAUCCAUCUUUUUCAAUAGUUCAACAUGUGCUUAGGAAUAAUAAACUCUCUUAUCAUGGGGAGCCAAAUAAUGAGUCGGUAUGUGAUUCAUGCCAACGUGCGAAAAGUCACCAAUUACCUUAUCCAGUGUCUACUAGUGUAUCUACCAAACCUCUUGAGUUGAUUUUUUCUGAUGUAUGGGGAGAUGCCCCUCUUUCUGUUGGUCGAUACAAAUAUUAUGUUAGCUUCAUCGAUGAUUAUACUAAAUUUUCGUGGAUUUAUCUUACUAAGAAAAAAUCCGAUGUCUUAGAAGUCUUUCAAAAUUUCCAAGCACAUGUUGAACGUCAAUUUGCUUCAAAAAUUCUUGCCAUCCAAUCCGAUUGGGGUGGC
rnacentral:rRNA from 1 species